GAAGGCAAACAAAGUAACUAGAUUCCAUAGUGUGUUGUGGAACGUACUUUUAAAUUCUUCCAACCAGUAUUUAUUGCUCACCUACUAUGUGCCACAUGUUCUGCUAGGCCCUCUGGGACCAGAACCAUGAGCAACAGAGACCCAGACUCCACUAUCCCAAAAUUUCUGUAGCAGUGAACAGGCGUGGCUGAUACUGGGCAUGGAAUUGGUGGGUCUGGCUAAACCAAUCCUGGCUGCUCCAAGCUGCCUUGCUGGGGGCACAGAAAGACAAUCAGGUUCCAGGUGAGAGAAUCGAGCCUCCCCCGCAACUUUCAAAAACCACAGAAGGAAGCAAGUCCCAAGCUGCACAAAGUUCCUUUGAGAAGGCAAAUGGAGGUCUAUUUUAGUUCUUUCCCAAGAGGGCACAGUGAGCUGGGAGAGGCUGUCCGGAGGCUCAGGAUGUCAUUCUGGGCCAUCUAGAGGCCCCGGGACAGGAGGGGGAGGCCAGGGACUGCUGCACUGAGCUAACAGCUCCAAGACCAGGAAGGGACAUCAGAGUUACUGAUAAGGUUUACGGUCCCAGCAGCGAUUUGCAACUCCUACUCCACAGCGCAGGUCACUGAGCUUGGAGAAGGACAAUGAACUGAUCCAGAUCACAUAAAUGGUUUUUGGGACAGAGUACCCUAGCGGUUUGAAAAUGCCCACCUACCUUGAAUUUCAUCAUGGAAAGAGGCGUGCCUUCUCUUCACAUCAAUGACAUUGGGUUGCACAAGGAUCUCCUGGUCCUGUCUUCUUGACAAGAGGAGAAUGCAGCUCAGAAAAGGGAAGGCUGGAAACAAACAAAGCGAGCCAUCUGUAGGCCUUCACCAUGGUGUGGCAGAAAAGUGGUAAAGGGUGAAAGGCCACAGACUCGCUGCCAUGCGUGCUGUCAUGUGACAUCGGUCCCAUGUUGAACUUGUGAGGUGUCUCUUUGGUGUGGCUGGAAAGUGAAAAGCAUGCCCUGCAAACAAUAUCUGACUUUUGUAAAUUUAUUUUUAAUAAGCAUACAUUACAGUAUCCUCUUUUACAUACAGUUUUAUGAGACCUGACAGAGGCCAGUGUAACCAUCAACACAAUGAGGAUAUAGGAGAGCUCCAUUAACACACAGCAACUGCCUUCUGUUCAAACCCUUCCUAUUCAAAUACUCCACCUACCCAGUAACCCUGCAGACCACCAUCAGUUCUUCAUCCCUCUAGCUUUGCCUUUUACACAAUGUCAUAUAAAUGGAAAUCUGGAUUUGUUCAUUUGCAUAAUGUGUAAUGUAUUUGAGAUCCCUCCCUGUUGUUGUGUCUAUCAGUAAUCUGUUCUUGUUUGUGGCCCUGGGGCAUUCUAUUGUAUGGAUACCCCAGGGCUUGUUCAUCCAUGCAUCAGUUGAAGGACAUUUGGAUUGUUCCCAGGUUAUGGUGAUUACCAAGGAAACUGCUAUAAAUAUUUACAUCCAUGUUUCUGUGUGACCUAAGUUUUUGUGUCCUUGGGUAAAUACCUAGAAGUAGAAGAGCUGAAUCUGGAAUGAGUACAAGUUUAACUUUGUAAGAAAUUGCCAAACUGUUUGUAAAGUGAUUGUAUCAUUUUGCAUCCCCACCUGCAACGUAUCACAAUACUAGUCUACCAUCUCGCCAACACUUAGUAUUGUCAGGUACUAUUAUUGUUGUUGUGGUUGUAGCAAUUCUAGAGAGUGUGGGGUGGCAUUUUAUUCUGAAUUUAAUCUGCAUUCUCCUUAUUAAUGAUGAUGUUGAGCAUUUAUUCAUACCUGCCAUCAUAUAUUUUCUUCAGUGAAAUGUAUGUUCAAACAUUUUGUCCCAUGUUAGAUGAGUUAUUUCCUUAUUC